rnacentral:rRNA from 1 species
UACGAAGGGGGCUAGCGUUUGCUCGGAAUCACUGGGCGUAAAAGCGCACGUAGGCGGAUUCUUAAGUCAGGGGUGAAAUCCUGGAGCUCAACUCCAGAACUGCCUUUGAUACUGGGAGUCUCGAGUCCGGGGAGAGGUGAGUGGAACUGCGAGUGUAGAGGUGAAAAUUCGUAGAUAUUCGGAAGAACACCAGUGGCGAAGGCGGCUCACUGGCCCGGUACUGACGCUGAGGUGCGAAAAGCGUGGGGGAGCAAACAGGG